rnacentral:lncRNA from 1 species
GCCAUCAUGAAACAGAUGGAGAACAUGCUGCGGCUGCUGUCCACCCCAGACGCGCCUCUGGAGGACAGGCUGRAGAAGACUGUAAGCGCCUUGGCCGACCACGAAAACGGUGGCCUGCUGGGGGUGGUGUUUCACACUGCGCUCGCUCUGGUCCUGUCCCGGAGCCCCAUCGYUCACCUUCUCAGCAACAUCUGCUUCCAGCCUGGUGUGGUGAAGGGGUCCUACCUUCCCACCAUGCCUGAAGACCUGCUUUUUGAUGAGAAGAACUGGAAAAUCGGUUCCUCAGAUAAACUUUGGAGUAAGUAUCGGGGAAACAUGGCCACUUCCAGGCCCAUAGUGGGCGACAGGCAGGAGAGCUGCUAGGAAGGUGCCCUGGUAAGGACUGGCCACGGGACAGAGGGAGGGGACAAAAAAUGCCCCAAGGCCAACUCCAUGCGUCGGUCGAGUCCUUCACGCCCUCCUACCRGCUGGAGCAGCUCAGGGGCCAUUCUUGACAAGCUCUGUGAGGGUGCUGUGGUGGGGCCGGCUCUCAGGAGGUGGGAGUCCAGCCCAUCACCCUCUCAGUGAGCUUCACAGAGGACUUUGUGGCCUGGAGACGGCCAGCUAACGUGGUUCUCCUUCACCCGUAGCAUGCCAAUGUGGAUCGUACUGGAUCGUCACCGACAUAAGUGGCUCUGUGGAGCCGGCGGUCUUUGCAGCUCUGUCUUCUCGCACCCCUCGUGGCGCCCCUCACGGGAAAGCGGGGCUGGGGAUGGACUUCCCAGGUCCUCGUCCAGCUCCCGGAGGGACGCACAAGCUCGAAACGUGUCUUGGCCUCUCCGUCCCGGAGCCCAGCUCAGCUGGAGAUGUUGCUACCUCCUGGCUUGCAUUAGCCGCUGCAAGGACCUCCCCGGAAAAAGCCGGCUGGAGGACACAGAGCUGCUCGGGGGGCCCUGCAUGCUGCUGGCUUGAGCGAGUCGCCUCUUGGACCCAGGCUGCUCACGCCAUCCCCCUUCCCUCCCCGACACAGUGUGGGCUCCCCAUGGAAGUGAAGGAAUGCACGUGCGGCGCCAGAGUUGGGGGCACCGACCACAAGCCCGAGAAGGGGUUCUCGAGGCAGGAGAUCACGGUGGAUAAAACGGAGAAAGGGUACCUCCUCGAGAGCCCUUCGUUGCGGAGGAACGACCUGGAGUGGUCCCUGUYGCCCGCCUGCAUGGGGCUUGCGAGGGCCCUGCUCCACUCGGCCMUGCUGCUGGGCGCCUGCGCCGAUAAAGCGGUGAGCGGAGACCUCCUGCCUCCUCGAAAAGCCAACGGCGCUGGCCCGUGCUGCGAGCGCUGGGGAGGAGGCUUGGUGGAGAGCUYCCUGAGGACCCGGCCCUGUCUCCCAGGCCAUCCUCGACCGGAUGAAAGAGAAGCCGGAGGACGUGGAAGGCUUCUUCUGGAGCCACCUGCAGAAGGACAUCAGCAGCCUGGCAGAGGCACUCGGCAGGAACACGGAGGACGCCAUGUUGACCAUCCGCCUGUUUCUCCAGCGCGUGAGUGA